AGUGAACGCUGGCGGUAGGCCUAACACAUGCAAGUCGAACGGCAGCACAGUAAGAGCUUGCUCUUACGGGUGGCGAGUGGCGGACGGGUGAGGAAUACAUCGGAAUCUACUUUUUCGUGGGGGAUAACGUAGGGAAACUUACGCUAAUACCGCAUACGACCUACGGUGAAAGCCGGGGAUCUUCGGACCUUGCGCGAUUGAAUGAGCCGAUGUCGGAUUAGCUAGUUGGCGGGGUAAAGGCCCACCAAGGCGACGAUCCGUAGCUGGUCUGAGAGGAUGAUCAGCCACACUGGAACUGAGACACGGUCCAGACUCCUACGGGAGGCAGCAGUGGGGAAUAUUGGACAAUGGGCGCAAGCCUGAUCCAGCCAUACCGCGUGGGUGAAGAAGGCCUUCGGGUUGUAAAGCCCUUUUGUUGGGAAAGAAAAGCAGCAGGUUAAUACCCCGCUGUUCUGACGGUACCCAAAGAAUAAGCACCGGCUAACUUCGUG
rnacentral:rRNA from 1 species